rnacentral:lncRNA from 1 species
CUGCUGAUUAUUUCUUUCUUUUCUUUUUUUUGGUACCAGGAAUCGAACUCAGGACCUUGUGCUUUCCAGGCAGGUACUUGUGCCACUGAGCUAUAUUCCCGGCCCAACUGCUGAUCAUUUCUACUUCUGAGAUGGAAAUAUAUCCCGAUUAUCAUCAGUGAUAGUCGUAGUUACUUUGAGAGUAAAUAUGCAUCUGUAUUUAUCAAAAAUUUUACACUGAGGAUCAGCCAAAUUGACUACUCAGCAUGGAACUUCCUGGCAAAAGCUUUCUUGUUAGGACUGCACUGUCAAAACCACUCCACUGACAUCCAGCAGUUACAGUGGUUAAAAAAGACAUCUGUGGUGAGUACCAUUUUUCUGUUCUUCCCCAUUGAACAUGAUUCUUUCUGAGUGAUUAUGAUA